UACAGAGGUCCCAAGCAUUGUUCGGAUUCACUGGGCGUAAAGGGUGCGUAGGCGGCCGGGUAAGUCUGAUGUGAAAUCUCACAGCUUAACUGUGAAACUGCAUUGGAUACUAUCCGGCUCGAGGAAUGGAGGGGAGACUGGAAUACUUGGUGUAGCAGUGAAAUGCGUAGAUAUCAGGAGGAACACCGGUGGCGAAGGCGGGUCUCUGGGCCGAUACUGACGCUGAGGAGCGAAAGCGUGGGGAGCGAACAGG
rnacentral:rRNA from 1 species